rnacentral:rRNA from 1 species
CAUAGCUGUAUCACCGUGCCUCCCAAGACCAGUUGCUCACUGAAGCUAAGCAGGGCUGAGCCUGGUCAGAACCUGAAUGGGAGACCACAUGGGAAAACUGGGUAGCUGCUAGAA